UACGUAGGGGGCGAGCGUUGUCCGGAUUUAUUGGGCGUAAAGAGCGUGUAGGCGGCCUGAAAGGUCAGCUGUGAAAACUCGAGGCUCAACCUCGAGAUGUCGGUUGAAACCAUCUGGCUAGAGUCCGGAAGAGGAGAGUGGAAUUCCCGGUGUAGCGGUGAAAUGCGCAGAUAUCGGGAAGAACACCCGUGGCGAAGGCGGCACUCUGGGACGGUACUGACGCUGAGACGCGAAAGCGUGGGGAGCGAACAGG
rnacentral:rRNA from 1 species